GCUCCUUCCCAUGACCUCUUUUUUCACGUGACCAGCUUGGGCUUCCUCAUAGUAUGGUGGUCUCAGGAUAGUAAUACUGUUACAGUAGGUAGUCAGACAGAAGCAGGGCAGGAGACAGCCCCCCUCCCCCCACCCGACAACUCCAAGGGAUGUCUGGCAACCAUCAGGUGAUGGUCAGGUGGUCGUUAAACUGCCUCUCUGAAAUAAUAGUUGGGUCACAGCUGGUGCCAGGGAAAGGUAGUCUCCCAAUAGAUAGAAACACCAGGAACGGAUGAUCAGCAGCUUCCAGAUAAGAUCUCAGGAAAUGGGGAGAAGAAAGUGAAAGUGGAAAUUAAAGGGCCCAAGUAGGAGAGAGCAGAAGAAAAAGAAACAAACAAACAAGAACAACAUAAAAACAAGCAAUCGUGCAAACAAACAAACAACCAAUGGAGCAUCACAGGGCUAUGGAACAUUUAAUUAAGAAAAGACUUCCAUCUUGUUCCCAGAGGUGUUUAUGACUUAAUGGAUAUAAAUGGGUGCCAGCAUUAUGGGUGCUGCCUGUUAUCAUGUAUUAUAAUACCAGGGAAUGAUUGCAAGAGAUGCGCAAUAGGUAUCCAACUACAUACAUGAAAUUACAAAAAGACUGCAAUUUAAAACGGAAAUAUAGA
rnacentral:lncRNA from 1 species